AUUGAACGCUGGCGGCAUGCCUUACACAUGCAAGUCGAACGGCAGCACGGGUGCUUGCACCUGGUGGCGAGUGGCGAACGGGUGAGUAAUAUAUCGGAACGUACCUUAUUGUGGGGGAUAACGCAGCGAAAGCUGUGCUAAUACCGCAUAAUCCCUAAGGGGGAAAGCGGGGGACCGUAAGGCCUCGCGCAAUUAGAGCGGCCGAUACCUGAUUAGCUAGUUGGUGAGGUAAAGGCUCACCAAGGCAACGAUCAGUAGCUGGACUGAGAGGACGAUCAGCCACACUGGGACUGGGACACGGCCCAGACUCCUACGGGAGGCAGAAGUGGGGAAUUUUGGACAAUGGGGUCAAGCCUGAUCCAGCAAUUCCGCGUGAGUGAAGAAGGCCUUCGGGUUGUAAAGCUCUUUUGUCAGGGAAGAAACAGCAGCUCUAACACAGUUUGCGAAUGACGGUACCUGAAGAAUAAGCACCGGCUAACUACGUGCCAGCCGCCGCAGUAA
rnacentral:rRNA from 1 species